UCACAGCGGUGACCCGAAGAGACAGCCUGA
rnacentral:piRNA from 1 species